rnacentral:lncRNA from 1 species
GAGGCAGUUUGCACAUUGUGGAAUAUUUCAUAGGAACAGAGAAGUCUAAGAAAUUACUGGGAUUUAAUUCUUAUUUGAAUAGUAGUUAAACAUUUUUAUUGAUACAGGCCAUCACCUAUCUUUCUUGGUCACUUCCAUACCUGAUUAUAAAUGUAUGUUACUGACAAUAAUGAUACGCCAAACAGCUGGUUUGAAAUAGCUUUCAUAUUUUACACAGUUACAAGUGCCUGGAACAAUCAGGGAAACAGCAACACAUUCUCUGUCUGAAGGUGACCUUGGUAAAUAGCAUAUUUUUUAAAAAGAGUGUAAUGCCAUUCAAUGAUUCUAGCUGCAACAGAAAUAGAAAUUUUUUGCCACAUUAAUUCUAACUUAUCUUUCUCUGUUGCUGGUGUUUAUAGAGGUGUUUCUAGAACCCUAAUGUCAUUGUUGCCUCUGCCUUUUCCAGUCAUUCUAGAAUUGUCUUGUUAAGCAAGAAUUAAACUUGGAUAGAAAAUCAGCUUCUACCUUAAUAACAAGCAGAGCUCUGCAUUUCUCUAACAUUGUGACAUCAUGGCAAGAGUGGCAGGAGAGAAGAUGUAUGUUCAGAGGCAGCCUGAGCUGCCUGUGUUCCCAAGGCAUCCUUUCUAAGGAAUCCAGGCCAAGGUCACCACCACCACACGUGCUUUCUGUGGCAGCCUCAUAGCAGAGAUGUCAUUGGCAAUGUUGAGCCUUCUGAAGAGGAAAAGACAGCCAGCGCUUCUGUUGUUCUCAUAUUCUGCAUAUUUUAUUGCCUUCACCAAUGGAUGGCAACACAAAGUUUUGUGCACCAUCUCCUCAGUCAGAGAUAUUCCUGGGUGGCAGUAA